GACGAACGCUGGCGGCGUGCCUAACACAUGCAAGUCGAGCGAAUGAAGUUCUUUCGGGAAUGGAUUUAGCGGCGGACGGGUGAGUAACACGUGGGCAACCUGCCUCAUAGAGGGGAAUAGCCUUCCGAAAGGGAGAUUAAUACCGCAUAAGAUUGCAGUACCGCAUGAUACAGCAAUUAAAGGAGCAAUCCGCUAUGAGAUGGGCCCGCGGCGCAUUAGCUAGUUGGUGAGGUAACGGCUCACCAAGGCGACGAUGCGUAGCCGACCUGAGAGGGUGAUCGGCCACAUUGGGACUGAGACACGGCCCAGACUCCUACGGGAGGCAGCAGUGGGGAAUAUUGCACAAUGGGGGAAACCCUGAUGCAGCAACGCCGCGUGAGUGAUGACGGCCUUCGGGUUGUAAAGCUCUGUCUUCAGGGACGAUAAUGACGGUACCUGAGGAGGAAGCCACGGCUAACUACGUGCCAGCAGCCGCAGUAAAAC
rnacentral:rRNA from 1 species